rnacentral:misc_RNA from 1 species
GUGAAGAACGUAGCGAAAUGCGAUACUUGGUGUGAAUUGCAGAAUCCCGUGAACCAUCGAGUCUUUGAACGCAAGUUGCGCCCGAAGCCAUUAGGCCGAGGGCACGCCUGCCUGGGCGUCACACGUCGUUGCCCCCCCAUCUACUCCUUCGGGAUUGCGGGGGGCGGAUGAUGGCCUCCCGUGCGCCUCGUCGCGCGGUUGGCAUAAAUGCCAAGUCCUCGGCGACACACGCCACGACAAUCGGUGGUUGCGAAACCUCGGUUGCCCGUCGUGUGCGGUCGUCGCGCAUCGAGGGCUCGAAAAAAUUGCCGGGCUCCGGCUCGGCUUUCAACGCGACCCCAGGUCAGGCGGGGUUACCCGCUGAAUUUAAGCAUAUCAAUAAGCGGAGGA